AACGCAUAUUGCGCUCGAGCCCUCGGGCAAGAGCAUGUCUGCCUCAGCGUCGGUUUAACACCCUCACCCCUCCCAAUCUAUUGGGUAUGUUUGCUUAGUCGGCAAGCUAGGAGGUGGAUCUGGCUUCCCCAAUCAUCCGUCCGGCAAAUUGGGUUGGCUAAAGCGCAGAGGCUCAAGCAGGAACCCAGCAUGGGCUUCAACUGGAUAGGUAGCACCGGCUUCUGCCGACUACACGAAGUUGUUGCUUGUGGAUCUUGCUAGGAGCCCAGCAGGAACGUGCCUAUGGCAUGUCUAACUUUUCGACCUGAGCUCAGGCAAGGCUACCCGCUGAACUUAA
rnacentral:misc_RNA from 1 species